rnacentral:rRNA from 1 species
GGGGACGGGGCUAGGAUUACGCUGGCGGCGUGCUUUAUGCAUGCAAGUCGCACGGUUUUUUUCGCAAGAGGAAGACAGUGGCGAACGGGUGCGUAACGCGUAAGCAACCUACCCUUAAGUACGGAAUAACUCUGAGAAAUCGGUGCUAAUACCGUAUGUGGUCAUUCUUCGCAAGUGGGAUGACCAAAGCCGCAAGGCGCUUGAGGAGGGGCUUGCGUACUAUCAGCUUGUUGGUGGGGUAACGGCUCACCAAGGCUAUGACGGUUAGCUGGUUUGAGAGGACGAUCAGCCACACUGGGACUGAGACACGGCCCAGACUCCUACGGGAGGCAGCAGUGGGGAAUAUUGCGCAAUGGGGGAAACCCUGACGCAGCGACGCCGCGUGGGUGAUGAAGGCCUUCGGGUCGUAAAGCCCUGUCGUAGGGGAAGAACCGGUGGGCGGCUAAUACCCGCUCGCCUUGACGGUACCCUACAAGAAAGCACCGGCUAACUACGUGCCAGCAGCCGCGGUAAUACGUAGGGUGCGAGCGUUAAUCGGAAUUACUGGGCGUAAAGCGUGCGCAGGCGGUUUUGUAAGACAGGCGUGAAAUCCCCGGGCUUAACCUGGGAACUGCGUUUGUGACUGCAAGGCUAGAGUGUAGCAGAGGGGGGUAGAAUUCCACGUGUAGCAGUGAAAUGCGUAGAUAUGUGGAGGAAUACCGAUGGCGAAGGCAGCCCCCUGGGCUAACACUGACGCUCAUGCACGAAAGCGUGGGGAGCAAACAGGAUUAGAUACCCUGGUAGUCCACGCCCUAAACGAUGUCAACUAGGUGUUGGGGGAGGAGACUUCCUUAGUACCGCAGCUAACGCGUGAAGUUGACCGCCUGGGGAGUACGGUCGCAAGAUUAAAACUCAAAGGAAUUGACGGGGACCCGCACAAGCGGUGGAUUAUGUGGAUUAAUUCGAUGCAACGCGAAAAACCUUACCUACCCUUGACAUGCCAGGAACUUUCCAGAGAUGGAUGGGUGCCCGAAAGGGAACCUGGACACAGGUGCUGCAUGGCUGUCGUCAGCUCGUGUCGUGAGAUGUUGGGUUAAGUCCCGCAACGAGCGCAACCCUUGCCAAUAAUUGCCACCAUUCAGUUGGGCACUUUAUUGGGACUGCCGGUGAUAAACCGGAGGAAGGUGGGGAUGACGUCAAGUCCUCAUGGCCCUUAUGGGUAGGGCUUCACACGUAAUACAAUGGUCGGUACAGAGGGUUGCCAACCCGCGAAGGGGAGCCAAUCCCAGAAAGCCGAUCGUAGUCCGGAUUGUAGUCUGCAACUCGACUACAUGAAGUCGGAAUCGCUAGUAAUCGCGGAUCAGCAUGUCGCGGUGAAUACGUUCCCGGGUCUUGUACACACCGCCCGUCACACCAUGGGAGUGGAAUCUGGCAGAAGUAGGUAGCCUAACCGCAAGGGGGGCGCUUACCACGCUGGGUUCAUGACUGGGGGAAGUCGAACACCGG